UCUGUAUCGUUCCCACAUUCGUUCCGUUUGUAGAAUCCAUUCACAAUACUCAGGUUAGGCUUUAAUCCUUCGUUUGUUGUAUUUUGAUUUUCCAUUGAACUUCGUCUUAGUUCAGAAGUUGCUGAAAUUGUUUCACCCAUUGCUGGUUUAGAACAUUGAAGUGAAGCAUUUAAUGUCGCUGCUUCUGUCAGGAUCUCCUCCUCCAAAUCUCAGUUCGAGCUCAUCGCCUCAGUAACGUCACCUCUCUCCCUCAUUUAUUCUGUUUUCGAAUUAGGGAUUUCUCAAAUGUGUUUCAUUAACCAUGCUUCACGCCUUUCUAGCAUUGCUAUAUCACUCAUAUAUUACACAAAUUAAUAAAUGUAGGUUUGCAUUUACUAAAAUAAUUCAAUUUCCUCAAUAAAUGCAUUCAUAUAUUGAUGUGAUUUAUUAGGGAGAAAAUCAGACAAAAAGAUAAAAAUUUAUUGAAAACUAAGAACAUAAUUCAAUUUGUUUUUUUUAAGUAUUUGUUAAUAAGAUAAUAAACUAGUUCCAGUAUAUAGUCAUGUAUCUACCGGAGAAUGGAAAUAAUAUAUUUCCAAGGCUUCUAGUAAUUUGGUGGCGAUUUUAGACGGCUAAUUGCUAAAGCAGUGUUGGGGUUAUUUGGUCGAGGGAGACAAAUAAUUUGAAAUAUGUGUAGGAAUUUUGUAAACAUCCACAAUUUUUCAGGAAUUCAGUUUCUGUAAUUGUUAAAUUAAUACACUUCGCAUAUUAAAUUUUGGAACUUCUGGGUAUCAUAGUUAUGGGAAAUGUUUAGGUCGCCCAUUGGCUGUUAAUGAAAACAAUUUAUGAUUUUUUUUUUCACAAGACAAUCACAUAUAUUUAUCACUUAACUUGAAUUCUUCACUUUGGGAAGCCAUUUAUUUCUUUGGCUGAAUAAUUGUUAACCCAUGUUUAUUACACAUUCACUAAGACAAUUCAAAUGCUUCAAGUAUCUAUGCCGAGUAGCAAUCUCUCAGGCCCAAUUUGGUUUAUUCAACCUUCAUUAAACAUGAUCAUGGAAAAGCACAUGCCCCCAUCCGAUUAAGAGAUCCCUUCAUACCCUUUAGAGGGAGUGAGGUUUACAUUCUUAUUGCCCAAAGAGCUAAAAGCUUCAAUAGAUUCUUAUGAACAUUAUCUCAUUAACUCUUGAGCUAUUCUGACUUCGAUGAAGAUCUUGCUCCUGCAUCUAGAACAACAAUUCAAGGUCCAUUAUGACUUAAGAAUCGAUUUCCAGCUGAGAGUACAAGAGUUCAAUGGGACAUAAUCAACAUUUGGACAACUUGGACUCAUAAGUUUUUUCUUAUGGGGUUUUCUUGGUCCUAACCCAUGUGAUUGAGAAAUGGAAGAAUAAUAAUAGAGAAAUUGGACCCAUAUCAAUCUAAUAGUUUGCCGUAUGCAAGUGUAGUUUAUAAGAAUAAGUAGACCUUUUUUCCCCGAAAACACGUUAAUGUUUGACUUCAGUUUAUAAGUUUCAGUGAAUCAAUUUAUACGUUCAUGUUCACAUGUGGUUAAUUUUUUCUAUUUAACUUAUUUUUCUUAAAAAAAUAUUAUUCAGAGUUUAAGAUAAGAUGUUUAAUUUUUACUAGAGGCAACGUAAAAUUGAUUCUAGAUAAAAUACAUUUUUUUAAUGCUUUUAAGAUGUUGACUCACCAACCUAGCUAGUAGUAAACGUAGUUGUUAGUUGAAACUUUGACUCACUUGACGUAAGUAAACCUGUCUCAUUGUUUUUGGUGGGUGAAGGAUGAGUUGAUCCAUUUUGCAUUCAUAUGAUAUAAAGAUAAACAGAGAAAGUAGUAUUUAGAAAUAUUGAUCAUAUAAUUUAAUCACAUUGAGUAAUAAAAUAUUUGGAAGACACUAGUGAUAAGCUAUUUUAGAAACUGAGUUGUAUUUCUAAACUAUCGUGCAAGGAAAAGGAUCCUCUCUAAACUAUUGAGGACCUCUCCCAUAGUUGGCCUAUCCGUACUUCUACCAGCCAAGCACUGGAUGCCUAUCUCCACAAACGCCCUCAGGCAUUCUGGCCUAACAUUCCCUGCUAAAUGAGGAUCAACUAAUUCAUCAAUGCUUCCACACUUGUAACAGUGCAUGGCCCAUGUGGCCAACCCAACUUUCUCACUUUCCUCUUCCACUGCCACAGUAUUCACAGCUGCUCUUCCACACAACACCUCAAACAAAACCACUCCAAAUGAAUACACAUCAGAUUUUUGAGUCAGUUUUCUUCUCUUAUAGUACUCAGGGUCUAAAUAUCCAAAAGUACCUUUAACCUCAGUGCUAACAUGUGAAUGGUAAAGUGAGGGAACUGUUCUACACAAUCCAAAAUCUGCAAUCUUGGCUACCCAAUUCUGAUCCAAUAAUAUGUUGGCUGACUUCACAUCACGGUGAAUCACUGGGUGCCUUGUGCUAGUGUGGAGGUAAUGUAGUCCUCUAGCUGCACCAAUACAAAUCUUUAUUCUUUGAAUCCAAGGCAACGGCUGAUUUUUUUUCUUGUAUAAGUGGUCAGACAGAGGACCCUCAGCCAUGUAUUCAUACACCAGUAUCAUUUCAUUUCCCUCUUGGCAGUACCCUAGCAGUGAGACUAGAUUCAUGUGACAGAAUGAGAAAAAAUUGAUCUCAUUUUGAAACUCUUUAUAUCCUUGGCCAGAACUACGAAUAGAGCGCUUUACCGCGACAGCAAUGACUCCAUCAUGAUGCAUGAUGCCUCUGUACACCUUUCCGAAGCCUCCCUCCCCGAUGACAAGAGCUUCACUGAAGUUGCUUGUAGCUAUGCUGAUUUCUGCAAGUGUGAAUUGAUGGCAAAGACCUGAGGUUACUGUGGGUUGAAUGAUUUUGUGAGUACUACUAGAAUUUGAUGGGAGUAACUUCAAUUUUUUCCCUGCUCUGAGGAUAAGAAUGAAAAAUGUGAAGAGCAGUCCCAAGAUGGUACCUAAAGUAGCAACGGCCACAAUAAUGACAUGUUGAACCUUCUUUCUUUGUUCCCUUCUCAAUUGGAACAUUGCUGCCAGACUAUGAUUACUAUCACUUAUCUUCAUAAUCUCAAUUCCAUUCAGUAUGGCGUCAGCAUAUUUUGGUUUUGACUCCAAGUUAGGGUGAAGUGAGAUCCACAAAUCUUUCCUGCUCCCACUUUCCAUAGGAACCAUAACAAUAUAGUCCUUUUGCAAAGGAGUAAAUGGUGCUCCGGCUGAAGCAACUACGUCCAUUCUCUCCUCUGCUGUUUGGUUGUUUAUGUACACUUUGAACACCCUUUGAUUGGGCUGCGUUACCACCGUAGAGAUCUCACAGAAAUGAAGCCUAACAAGGUAUUUGAAUCCAGAAUCAACAGGGAAAGACCAUGUUAAAUUGUACUUCGUGUUAUCAUCUCCACCACUACCCAUUGUCCUGGCAGUCCAAUAUAGCUCUGAUGGUGCUGAAUAAUUGUAAUCCUUUGAAGAAGAAGUGGUGUAAUUCAAAUUUACAGUACGAGACUUUAUAUUGAGGACACUUCCAUAGUGUGAACCAGAUAUGUAUCUAAAAUCAUUUAACCAUAUUCCAAAAGCAUUUUGAGAAUCAACAUCUUCACCAACAUUGCUAACUCUGUAAAACGUCUCUAGAGCAUAUUCAUCAUUAGUCAAUAAAAUUUGCUGGUGCCCAAGGUAAGGAACAGGAACCUUGGAACCCGGAAAGUAUAUACUUUUGGGCACCGGGAAUGUCUCAAUGCCAUUUACAAAAGCAAAUGCUUUGGAAAUUAAAGGAGAUGGAGUAAAUGUAAUGGUCAGUUUGUCUUCCCUAACUUUGACUAAGAAAUCCUUGGUGAAAAACUUCGAGUUGAGCUCUUCUGCAAAAACAGAUGGAUUAAAAUCACUUACAAGAGUGUAGGGCCCCGCUUUUACAGAGAAAUAAGCCUUGUUGGAGGGGUUCAUCUUCAGAUAUAAAGAUGAAAGAAAGUAAAGGCGAAUGAAUUUAAGGCCAGGGGAGGAAGGGAAGGAGUAGGUCAAUGAAGAAUGAGUUAUUCUUGCUGUUGAGAAUGGAACUUUUGGGGCUAGAGAGUCUUCCAUGUUUGAGAGCAAGACUGCAGAUGAGCUCUUGUCAUACUCUGGAGGCAAGAAAUUAGAUCCGCUAUCUCCUAUCCAAUUUUCUCCAUUGAAUGAUGAUGCUUCAUAAGAACCACAGUUUAGGAGGAUUUUGUCCGGGACAUUAAUUGGAUCACAAGUGAUUAAAUGGAUGAAUGGUAAAAACAAAAAGAGGUGCAGUAGUACACAACUAGUGAUACCAUUCCUACUGGACUCUAUCAUGAGGGAUUCCAUCAUGGUGACGCAGGAAUAUGGCGUGAAGGCACAGAUUAUGAGUUCAUCUGUAAAAUUAUGUUAUCUAUAUAGCUAAGGUGUCCUCAAUUUGUUGUGUGGUCUACCUUUUUUGUAUUGAAAGGUCAACAAUGUCUUCUAGCUGGAGACAACCGGUCACCCUUGAAGAGUGAAGAUAUAUUUGGCCUUUGAUUAUCAAUAUAAUAUUUCAAUUUAAGUAUAAAAGCAAUAUUUUAAAAACACCCUAAUUAUACUUAAGUGCUAUCCACAAAUUUUAUCCACUAUGAAUAAUUCUUAGAAAUUGUGAUUAAAUGUAAAGUGGGAAUGACUCCAAGCCCCUUAACUAAUUUUGCUUUGCCUGGUCCACGCGGAGAGUUUCAGUGUUGACAUGUUGCAAUAGACAAUGCAGAAAUGAACUUAUUUUGCAAGGACAUCAAAUCCCUUACAUAAGCUGUGAAGUUAUUGUUCUUAGUUGGAGUAUGCUACACCGACAUGUGUUUUCUAACAUAAAAUUUGACUAAAUAAUCAAAUAUGAAAAUGGAUAAUAUGUUAUGACCUUAAUUAGGUUAGUGCACUUAGCAAUCAGAACAAGUAUGAUAAAAACAAUAAUAUUUUUCACAUUUUGAGUUGUGGUUAAAAAUAGUGAAGUAAUAAUUUUUCUGCCUUUAGAUCAUUACAACUCAAUCUGUAUUUUCAAAUAUUUAAUUAGAUGUUAACCCGUGGGAGGCACGGAUUUUUUGUUGAAAAAUAUUAUAGUCAACUUAAUUAAAAAGAUUUGAAAGGCCUUUUAUCUCAUUGAAAAAUAAAUAAUAUAAAGGUCGUGAAUAUUAUGAAUAAAAAUUUGAGAGUUUACAAUGGUAUAUUUAUAUUUAUCGUCAAAUAAAAUUGAUUUUCAUCACGCAGUUUGUGAGAUCAAACAAUAAAUUUAUUUUUAUUAACAGUCUAGAUAUUUUAAUAUUCAAAGUUUAAAAUAAGUAAACAAGAGAGUAUGACUACUGAGUUUUCUUUAAAUUUGCAAUCAUAUAGUAUCAUUUUUCGACAUAUAUAUUGUUCUUAAAUGGUUGGUAGUUUCUUAAUCUAUUGCAAUGUUAAAGAUGAUUUAAUACUAAAUAUUCAAUGAUCUUUAAUAUAUGGUAAACUAUACUUGACUGAACUAUUUAUUGAUUUGAUGUUGGCCUUACAAUGCAUGCAGAGUUCCCCUUACAUACUAGCACUUGCCAUAAGGCAUUUGUAUGAACCAAUUGGCUGUUAUUUACGGGAAAGUUCAGAACAGAGCUCAGAAUUGCAGCAAAUGCUCCCUCACAUUCAUUUAAGUUUGCUGCAUAUUAAGUAGAAGAUGUAGCAGUGGUAGCACAGUACAAAUUAUUUCUGGUAGUGUCUAACCUCCAUAACAUUUUCACAAAAAUAGGAAUUAGUCCAAGCUUUUGAUUCCUACAACACAUUAUUUGAAAUAGAAAUCUCUUAAUGUCUAUAAGAAUCAAGGCAUUCUUGUUUGGGGAAAGAUCACAGUCACCGACCAAUAGGCAUCAUGAUUUCAGAGAACUCAACCCCAGGUGUCAAAUCUGAAUUACCCUGCAGAACAACAUUAUCACUUCUGCGUUCAUUUCCAUUUGGGACAUUCCCUUCAUUUUUCUGAAGAUGCAUUGCCAGAACAAGAUUCUCUAGCACUUCACCAAUGGAUGGCCUCUCCGCCCCUCUUUCAGCCAAACAUUUCAUUGCAACUCCUAAAUAUAACUCAAAGCACUCCUUAAUUAUGUUUUCUUUCAAGUUGGGGUCAACUAUUUGCUCCACAUUGCCAUUCUCAAGGCACGACAUAGUCCAUUCGGCCAAGUUAACAUGCUCAUCAUCUUCACCUACACUUACAGCAGGCCUUGCAGUCAGAACCUCCAAUAACACCACCCCAAGUGAGUAUAUAUCAGAUUUCUCAGACAACUUGAGGCUUUCAUAGCACUCGGGAUCUAAGUAACCAAUGCUACCCUUCACGUUGGUGGUGACUAAGGAAGGGUAACCUGCCUUUGACAACCCAAAAUCUGAAAUUUUGGGCACCCAGUUGUGAUCUAAGAGUAUGUUGGUUGUCUUGAUGUCGCGGUGGAUGAUCCUGUGCUUUGUGCCAGUGUGAAGGUAGUGCAAGCCCCUUGCAACUCCAAUGCAAAUCUCAAGACGUUGAAUCCAAGACAAAGGGGGUUGAUCUCUCCGCCUCAAAUGAAGAUGAUCAUGAAGACUUCCAUUGGCCAUGAAGUCAUAGACCAAUAUCAUCUCCCCAUCCUCAUUGCAAUAACCCAAAAGUGACACCACGUUAUGAUGCCUAAGUUGUGAGAGCAAAAGGAUCUCUGUCUCGAAUUCUGAAACACCUUGCUUUGACAUUGGAUUGGCACGUUUAAUGGCCACGUAAGUUGUGCCACCAACGAAACUACCCUUGUAAACACUGCCAAAUCCACCAGUGCCUAUAUGUAAAGCCUCAUGGAAGUCAUUUGUCGCCAGUUUUAUCUCUCGCAUCGAAAAUUGAGUGCAAAGUGACGACUUUUUUGCCCUUUCAAUUCGACUAGGUGCGUGGACAGUGAGACCGCACCAUGACACGACCCUUCUAAGCCUAAUCACCUUUAACCUGAAUAAGAGUAAGCAAAGGAAAAUUGGUAGUACCACUGCAAGAAGUCCACAUCCAAUGAGGAUGAAUUUGAGUUUCUUCGGACUUCUAUUAAAAUGAGCAACAUGGGGACCCUUUGCAUCUGAAAAGAAGCUUUUGGGAGGGUUGAGCCCUGCAAGACUCUUAUCAUCAAAAUUGCUGAGUUUAAAGAUCUCCACACCAUUCAAGAAAGCAUUAUAGUACAUAGGUUUAGCAUCCUUGUAUGGGUGCAGAUCAAGCCACAAAUCCUGCUUUCCCUCAUUAACAUGGGGAACCAUCACUACAUAAUCUCUGUGUACAGCAACUCCGGGCUCCCCAGCCCCCAAACCAAUUACAUCGACUUCUUCUUCAGCUGUUUGAUUAUUUAAAAACACGGUAAAAACUACCUGAUUGAUCUUUGUUAUAUCUUGAUCAAUUUCACAGAAGUGAAGCCUAACUAGAUAAAGGAAACCUGAAUCAACGGGAAAAAACCAUGUCAUAUUGUAAUUUAAAUUUACAAGUCCAUAGUCAGAAGGUCCCAUUGAGCGGGAUGUGCGGUAGACAUCUGCUGGGGCUGAAUAUGGUGGAGCAUCAUCUGAAUACAAAACCAGCAUGCUCAUAUUACAGGGUUGAAUACCAAAACUAGCCCCAAAAAUGUAAACUUCAUCGGUGUCCCAAGUCCGAAACAUGCCCGUGUCAUAUUUGGAUGGGAUUUGCUCACCUCCUACUUUCACUCUGUACAAGGUCUCCAUGGCAGAGUCAUUAUAAAUGUUCACAACUUUGUUAUCGUGUCCAACUAAGGGAAGAGGAUCACCAUCAUCACCCCUCAUGUAUAAAUUAAGUGGCAUUGAAACAACUUCAAUCCCAUUCACAAAUGCAAAGGCACGAGAGGCAUUAUAUGAUGGGGAGAAAGUGAGUUGCAAAACACUUCCACUUACAUGCACAAUGAAUUCUUUCUUGAAAUAGGCCAAGUUGUAGUACUCAGCGUUGAGGGAAGCACUGAAGUUAUGGAGAAGAGUGAAGUUAGCAGCACUUACUGAUAAGAAAGCAUUUGAAAUGUUGAGAUCCAUGUAGGAAGCUGGGUAGAAGUGAAGACGAAUGAAUUUGGGACCUGGGGUUACAUUGAAAGUGUAGGUGAAUUGAGAGUGAAAGAUCCUUGCAGUCAUAUAGGGAGCUUCAGGAAUAGAUUGAAGAGUGUUAGGGGCUCUCACUACCAGGGACUUGGUGUCAGCAUUAGAGGGAACAUACGGUGAAACAAUGUCACCACUCCAAUUCCUGCCAUCAUAUUGUACAAAUUCUGAUGUGCUGGAGCCGCAGUUGAGAACUAUGUUCUCUGUAGGAACAUAACUGCCAUUAUCAGCAACUGCAACUAGUUGUAAGUUUAAGAGAUACAAGAUAAAAAUGUACCCAGAGCAUAUGACAGCGUUCAUAAUUCUCUGGAUCAAUCUUGUGUCUCAACGAAGAUAUUUGAGAAUGGAAAAAUAACCAGCUUUAGCACUUUGUCCUAAAUUUCUAAUGCUUUAGUUUGAUUUUUCAACAAAACAUUGCUUUCUUUGUCGUCAGUUUCAACAUUGACCAACUUAGUAAAACUUAUUUUUUUUCCUUAGGCAACUGCAUCCUCCACCAGAUGGUGUUUGACCUUCACCAAUCAACUUUAAAUUUUUUUGUUUUUCAUUCCAAAAUUGAAAAUAAAAAAUUAAAAAAUAUAUACCAGAAAAAAAAUUCUGAAAUAGAUCUUUGUUAAAAAUUCUAGAAUAUAAUUGAAAAAAUAAAAUCUCAUUCCAGAAAAAAAUUUAUAGAAUACAAAAAUAAACUUUAAAAAAUAAAUUCCAGUUAACAAAAUCCAGAAAUUCUAAAAAUUCCAAAAAAUAUUCUGAAAUUCAGAAAUCUGUUCUGGAAAUCAAAAUUUUGAAAUAUAUUCCAAAAUAUCAAAUUUGGAAUGUAUUUUGAUCCACACCCUCUCUAAUUUAAAAACUAAAAAUGAAAUUUUUGGCAUUUAAAAGCUAAAAAUAUAUUCAAACAUCCAGCCAAUAUUACUAGUUUGCUACUACAAUAUUAAUCUGGCAAACGAAUGUAAUAUUAACAUUCUUUGAUGAAUACCAUGCACAUGCUAAAGGAGGAAUUUCAUGAUUUAUGUUUUUCAAAUCUAUGGGUGUAUUGAAUUAAGAUUUUAAAUCACACGUAUGUCAUAUAUUCAAAAAAAACUUCACGAUACAUAAAUUUUUACUUAGACGUGAAUUUGAGUAAAUAAAAUGUUUAUUUUUAUAUACUUUUAAAUUUGUGAAGUAAAUGUUUAAGAGGAUUUUAUCAUGAAACUUUAUUAUAUAUUGAUGUUUGUCUAAAUAUUAUGUCAUUACAUAUUAAUCAGUGUCAUUAUUAUGGUCCAUGUUUUUCAUCCUCCAAUGAUGACUAUAAUGGUCUAUGUCUUGAAAACUAGUUAAGAAGUAAUUCUUGUGUGGUAGUUAUCCUAUCAAUAACUAUGACAAUACUUAGUUUUUUAAACUUAAAAGUCACUCAUAAUUUCUACUCUAUUGUAAAACUUUAUAUUCACGACAAUUGACAUAUAGGAAAAAAAAAAGAAAAUACCAUCGAGUACCAAGGAAUUAAUGAAUUCUCUAUAAAACACAUAUGCUUAGCAAAGUCAACAUAAUUGCCAACAAGUCGUUUCAAAUUUUGAUGAUAACAAUAAUGACAAAUUUUGUAUAUCUAAUGAGUUUGUCAAAUGUGAGUCAACCUAAGAUGUUUCAAUGUCUUAAUACUUACAAUUUUUGUUGCUAAAUGGUCAUUCAUCAUCACACCCUUGUUUAAAUUUGAAGGUCACAUUAAUUUUACUUGUGUUUAUAAUAAUUUCAAUCUGUUUGAUGGUUGAAAAAAAAACCACAUAAUAGUAGCUACUCCAAAGUCAAUGCAGUAGGUCUUCUUGAUGUGUAGUGAUAGUAAUCAAAAUUGAAAUCAAGAAACAAUGAGUUGUCUAAACUUAUUUACAGUGAAUGCUGAAGUAUACAUGUCUAGUAGCUGGAGAAAAUGAGAAGGAAUUGAGACAGUGGUUGAAUCAGUCAAAGCAAAGUGUCA
rnacentral:lncRNA from 1 species